rnacentral:rRNA from 1 species
UACGUAGGGGGCUAGCGUUGUCCGGAAUCAUUGGGCGUAAAGAGCGUGUAGGCGGUCCGGUAAGUCCGCUGUGAAAGUCGGGGGCUCAACCCUCGAAUGCCGGUGGAUACUGUCGGGCUAGAGUGCGGAAGAGGCGAGUGGAAUCCUGGUGUAGCGGUGAAAUGCGCAGAUAUCAGGAGGAACACCUAUUGCGAAGGCAGCUCGCUGGGACGUAACUGACGCUGAGACGCGAAAGCGUGGGGAGCAAACAGG